rnacentral:rRNA from 1 species
UACGUAGGGGGCAAGCGUUGUCCGGAAUUAUUGGGCGUAAAGCGCGCGCAGGCGGUUUCUUAAGUCUGAUGUGAAAGCCCACGGCUCGACCGUGGAGGGUCAUUGGAAACUGGGGAACUUGAGUGCAGAAGAGAAAAGCGGAAUUCCACGUGUAGCGGUGAAAUGCGUAGAGAUGUGGAGGAACACCAGUGGCGAAGGCGGCUUUUUGGUCUGUAACUGACGCUGAGGCGCGAAAGCGUGGGGAGCAAACAGG